rnacentral:lncRNA from 1 species
UAUUUAUAGGUGAUAUGGAUGGUGACAUUGCAAUGAUCUUUCCUCUUGCUUACUUCAAUGAACUUGAAAAUAUGGUUGCAUUUUAAAAGGUCCGCACUACCUUUAUGAGCUGUAACACUCACUGCAGAGGUCUGCUGCUUCACUCCUGAAGUCAGGUGAGACCAUGAAUCCACCGGAAGGAAGAAACCCCGGACACAUCUGAACAUCUGAAGGAACAAACUCCGGACACACCAUCUUUACGAACUGUAACACUCACCGUGAGGGUCUGCAGCUUCAUUCUUGAAGUCAGCGAGACCAAAAACCCACUGGAAGGAACCAAUUCCAGACACAUUAUCACUAAUAAAACCUAUGGCUGUACCUUCUAGCAUUAUAUAUAAAAAGUGCAACAUAGAAAACAAAAUUUAAAUCCACAAAUAUUUAAUAUUCACAACUUCUGGAUUUAUCUCAUGUUGCAAACUAUUUUCGUUACCCUAUUCUUCAUAUGAGAAAUAUAAAACAUCAGCAUUUCA